rnacentral:rRNA from 1 species
AGAGUUUGAUCCUGGCUCAGGACGAACGCUGGCGGCGUGCUUAACACAUGCAAGUCGAACGAGAGCGUAGAGAAAGCUUGCUUUUUCUACAAUCUAGUGGCAAACGGGUGAGUAACGCGUAAACAACCUGCCCUACGGAUGGGGACAACAGCUGGAAACGGCUGCUAAUACCGAAUACGUUCCGAAAGUCGCAUGACUGUCGGAAGAAAGGAUGGCCUCUAUUUAUAAGCUAUCGCCGGAGGAGGGGUUUGCGUCUGAUUAGCUAGUUGGAGGGGUAACGGCCCACCAAGGCGACGAUCAGUAGCCGGUCUGAGAGGAUGAACGGCCACAUUGGAACUGAGACACGGUCCAGACUCCUACGGGAGGCAGCAGUGGGGAAUCUUCCGCAAUGGGCGAAAGCCUGACGGAGCAACGCCGCGUGAGUGAAGACGGCCUUCGGGUUGUAAAGCUCUGUUAUACGGGACGAAUAAUCUUGUGGUUAAUACCCAUAAGAAGUGACGGUACCGUAAGAGAAAGCCACGGCUAACUACGUGCCAGCAGCCGCGGUAAUACGUAGGUGGCAAGCGUUGUCCGGAAUUAUUGGGCGUAAAGGGCGCGCAGGCGGCUUCUUAAGUCUGUCUUAAAAGUGCGGGGCUUAACCCCGUGAUGGGAUGGAAACUGGGAAGCUCAGAGUAUCGGAGAGGAAAGCGGAAUUCCUAGUGUAGCGGUGAAAUGCGUAGAUAUUAGGAGGAACACCAGUGGCGAAAGCGGCUUUCUGGACGAAAACUGACGCUGAGGCGCGAAAGCCAGGGGAGCGAACGGGAUUAGAUACCCCGGUAGUCCUGGCCGUAAACGAUGGGUACUAGGUGUAGGAGGUAUCGACCCCUUCUGUGCCGGAGUUAACGCAAUAA